rnacentral:rRNA from 1 species
CGCCAACCAGCUAGCCCACCCCUAUAAAAACAAACCCCCAAUAUUAAUAAACCCAAAUACACACACCACCCCCUAAACAAACCAUUUUUCCCCCUAAGUAUGGGAGACAGAAAAG